GCAUUUGUGAGUGGGUUGUGUCAUUUAAUGGUGAUAGGUGGCGUGUAGAGUGAGGGAAAUGUGAGGUGAGAGAGAAAAAAAGGAGUGGGAAAUGUGAGAGGGAGACGUCUGUAGGGGGUAGUGUGUAGGUAAAGGAAAACGUGAGAAUUAUGAGUGGGUGAGGGGAUAGGUGGCGGCGAUGUUGCAGUUUAGAAGCUAGCCGCGUUUUGGCAUCAGCUUUUUG
rnacentral:lncRNA from 1 species